CCCAUUAAUCCUUAGGAUAUCAGAAAUACACAAAUCUUCCCCUGGUUCUACCUCCACCAGCCCCACAGAUCGGAGUACAAGCAACUCUGACACCACAACAUCUCUGAUGACCGAGGUUCUCAACUGCACCCCAGGCACAACACCAGGUCCUACUACGUUCCCAGGCACCACAGCAACAACCACAACUUCUCCUUCCUCCACCUCCACCAGUCCUGGAGAUCAGAGAAACACUCAGUCUGAAAGUACUACGACUGUGACAACCCAGGCUGUCACCAAUACCCAGGGGACAACAGCAGCUGCCUCUACUUUCCAAGGGAUCUCAGCAAUAGCCACAAAUUCCGCUGGCUCCACCUGCACCAGCCCGACACAUCAGAGUACAACCAACUUUGACAGCACAAUGUCUCUCAUUACCCAGGUUACAACCUCCACCCAAGGGACAACAGCACAUCCUACUACUUUCCCAGGGACCUCAACAACAGCCACAAAUUCUCCUAGCUCUACCUCCAACAGUCCUGGAAAUCAGAGUACCACUCAGUCUGAAAGUACUAUGACUGUGACAACACAAACUGUUACCACUACACAAGGGACAACAGCACCUGACACUAGUUUCUCAGGGGCCUCAGAGAGAGUCACAUCUUCCGCAGUGUCCACUUCAACCAGGCCCACAAAUCAGAUUACCACCCAGUCUGAUACUACUCUGACUGUGACAACCCAGGCUAUCACCACUACUGCAGGGACAACAGCAGCUGCCUCUACUUUUCCAGGAAGAUCAGCAACAGCCACAACUUCGCCUGGUUCCACCUCCAACACUCCCACAGACCAGAGUACAAGCAAGUCUGACAGCACAACGACUCUAAUAACUCAGGCUAUCAGCUCCACCCCAGAGACAAGAGCAGCUAAUACUACUUUCACAGAGACCUCAGCAACAGUCACAACUUCCCCUAGUUCCACCUCCAUCAGCCCCACAGAUCGCAGUACCACUCAUUCUCAAAGUAUUACGACUCUGACAACACAGGCUCUCACCAAUACCCAGGGGACAACAGCAGCUGACUCUACUUUCCCAGGGAUCUCAGCAACAGCUACAACUUCCCCUGGUUCCACCUCCAUCACCCCCACAGAUCAGAAUACAAGCAACUCUGACACCACAACGACUCUGAUGACCGAGGCUGUCACCUCCACCCCGGGGACAACAGCAGCUCCUACUACUUUCCCAGGGACCUCAGAAACAGCCACAACUUCCCCUACUUCCAC
rnacentral:lncRNA from 1 species